GAUCAGAAAAAUACAAGUUUGUGGGUAAUCCCAAGGAGAGUAUAGGAUACUAUUUCUACCACCCUACUCAAUAAAAGGUGUUUGUUAGUAGGCAUGCUAUUUUCUUGAAAAAAGAAUUUAUCUAAGAAAGGGGCAGUGGGAGGUCUGUUGAACUUGAGGAAGUUCAAAACCUACAACUCAUCCAUGAUUCACAAAAUAAUUCUCAACC
rnacentral:lncRNA from 1 species